CGUUCUGUAAAGAUAAAACAAAAAUUAAAAUUCACUCUAAAAUCCCCAAAUCUGUUGUGUAAACCCUAAAUUGGGAACCAAUUGUUCAUGAGAGUUGAAAACAAAACCCCAAUGGGUGCCAAAAAUUGAGUGACUUUAAUGGUGUAACCCUGCAAUUAGCAUCAAAUGGAGGAGCCGAUCACUGAGGGCGAUGAUUACGCCAGCCACCGUCAGCUUGUUGUCGUCGAAGACGUCACCCCUAUAUCUCAAUCAUUUUCCAGUUCAUCUUCAAUCACUCCGUUAGUCGCUAACGAUAGUUCUCCCCUUCAAAAGGUGUCUACAAAAAGUAUGUCAAAGUUUACCUUGCCUAAAGGUUGGUCUGUGAAAAAGGUAAUACGCAAGUUUGGAGGCUCUGUUGACAAGUAUUACCGUGAUCCAGAAACUGGACAAAUGUUCAGAUCCCUUAAAGAGGUUGAGAGAUACGUUACUGAAGGAGUUAUACCUUCAAAUACAAGGGUCAAGAAGCUAACAUACCUUCCUGAUGCCAAGGUUGAAAAUCAGACUACUGAAGAGGUUACACCAACGAGGACCAGGGGCAAGAGGGUAAAAUACCAUCGUGAUGGAACGAUUUUAGCAUUGGAAGACAGUAAAGAUAACCGGUAUGAGUUGGCUAUUGUGUCAUCCCCACCCUCUCCCUCUCCUCGCUUCAAGCUCCCUGAUGGUUGGAUUGUGGAGGAGGUACCCCGUAGAUCUGGAGGCUCUCCUGACAAGUAUUACUAUGAGCAAGGAACAGGACAAAAGUUUAGAUCUUUGUUAGCAGUCGAGAGACACGUAACACAAAUGGAAGAAAACUUACCGUUAUCAGUUGUACUCGAAGAAAUUAGAGAAAAGAAUUUGCCUCUCUCCAAGGCUUUCAAACUGAGCAGUCCUAUCAAGAACUGUGGUUCAUACAACUCAUGGAAGAAAAAUAUGUCUCGAAAAGAGAAGAUUUCUCUUCCAAGCAAAGUCAAUUGGGUCAUUGCUGGUACUGGAGGGGAUAAUGCGUGGAAUGCUUAUGUGGACGAAACCUUGGUUCCGGAUUCUGUGAAACAACAAUGGGGAAACACGUUUAUGAUAUCCAUCAGCAAUACCACCCCUAACGCUCCCAGUUCUGCGUAACUAGGUUCUGAUUCUGAAGCUCAAUGACUGUAUUAUGUGAGAUCAUUUGAAAUGUUUUCAUAUGUAUUAACAGGCUAAUCUGGAGAUGACGACGACGAUGAUGAUGAAGAUGGUGUACUUUGUUGAGUGCUGUUUUAUAACUAGUGUAGUGUUUGAUUAAUUAAGCAAUGUUUUCUAUUAACUAAGGUUUGUGGACUGGACUUUAGAUGCUUGAGGUUGUUUAUGAUGGAUAAUGAGCCAACAAAAAUCGUUAUUCUAUGAUACAUUUGACUUCCAAAA